CAAUACAAAUUACCUUGUGUCUACUGUCAUAACUGUCAGGCAUUUUAAGGAAGUUGUGCAUAUCAAUGAAGUUUAACAGAAGAAUGAUGUAACUAUUAAACAACUACCAUUGUUUGGCGGUUAGUUCCAUUUUGCAGUGUCUCUUCUGCACGGUCCAGGGCCUCCAUGGUGUGGAGGGGCAGCUCCAAGGGCUCCGCCAGUGGCAGUCCAACAGAGUUAGACUGUCCACACCUGCAGGAUUGGCGGAAUUGCCUGAACUCCUCCCGCAGGUCCUUCACCUCCUAAAUAACUCUGUCACCACAGAGAUGGCCUCUGUAGUAGAUGCACUGGAGUGAGUGGAGAGAAGCCAAUUCAUCUCCAGGGAACGAUGCUGGGACAUUGGGGCAAGACAGCUUGGAGGAAUUGGGGUGUUGGAGGGUCUGAUAGAUCCUUGGAGGCCAUGGUGGCUCUCCUGCUCAGACUGGAUGUCGGUGGUGUCGCAAUCUUUAUUUAAAUAUCGUUCCAGACUCCUCGCUGCCUCAUCAUGACUAUCUACAAACAUAUAUAUAUAUAUAAUAACAGUCAAGUACAGUCAGAGUCAGGAGAAAUAUUUUCAGACAGGG